GAUGAAGAACGUAGUGAAAUGCGAUAAGUAGUGUGAAUUGCAGAAUUCAGUGAAUCAUCGAAUCUUUGAACGCACAUUGCGCCCCUUGGUAUCCCGAGGGGCAUGCCUGUUCGAGCGUCAUUUCACCACUCAAGCCUGGCUUGGUGUUGGGCGACGUCCCCUUUAGGGACGCGCCUUGAAACGCUCGGCGGCGUGGCACCGGCUUUAAGCGUAGCAGAAUCUUUCGCUUUGGAAGUCGGGGCCCCGCCUGCCGGAAUACCUACUCGUAAGGUUGACCUCGGAUCAGGCAGGGAUACCCGCUGAACUUAAGCAUAUCAAUAAGCGGAGGA
rnacentral:misc_RNA from 1 species